rnacentral:rRNA from 1 species
GAUGAACGCUGGCGGCGUGCUUAACACAUGCAAGUCGAACGAGAAGUGAAGACGGAAACCUUCGGGCGGAAGGCUUUAUUUCGAGUGGCGGACGGGUGAGUAACGCGUGGGUAAUCUGCCUCAUACAGGGGGAUAACAGUUGGAAACGACUGUUAAUACCGCAUAAGACCACAGCACCGCAUGGUGCGGGGGUAAAAACUCCGGUGGUAUGAGAUGGACCCGCGUUCGAUUAGCCAGUUGGCGGGGUAACGGCCCACCAAAGCGACGAUCGAUAGCCGAUCUGAGAGGAUGACCGGCCACAUUGGGACUGAGACACGGCCCAAACUCCUACGGGAGGCAGCAGUGGGGAAUAUUGCACAAUGGGGGAAACCCUGAUGCAGCGACGCCGCGUGAGUGAAGAAGUAUUUCGGUAUGUAAAGCUCUAUCAGCAGGGAAGAAAAUGACGGUACCUGAGUAAGAAGCCCCGGCUAACUACGUG